UUAGGUUGGACAGUCAAAGGUAAAAAAAUGGUUUGAAGAGAUUUCAAAUAGCAUAGAGAGUCAAAGGGCUCAUGAAACAAGAAGGCUGCUCCUGGUUGAAUGAGCUGCAGAGAAGAAGGCUCUCUUGUCCGUCAGUAAUCAGAUUUUUUGAUGGGAAGGAACCAGUGCCUGAAGAGAAGAGGUAGGCUGGAGGAAGUCAGUCUAUGGAAGUUUUAAAAAAGGAAGGUUUGUAGCCCAGUGCUACCACCACAAAAAACAUGGGUAUCGUUUUCAAAGAGGAUAUUUGGCAAGGAGGUAGUUCUGAUAGUGAACUCAACAAUUUUGGUACUUGGAGGCGACCCAAAAUAUUUACUCUGGAAAACUCUCUGAUGAGAGCCUAACUCUAUGGGUGCUCUCCACACCCACUGUGCUCAACAAGAAUUGAGGCAUGGGCCCCAGACUGUCACCAGAAAUUUUUCUACUUAAAUCAGGAACAACUGAGGGACACAUGAAAACACAAAGGA